AUUGAACGCUGGCGGCAUGCCUUACACAUGCAAGUCGAACGGUAACAGGUCUUCGGACGCUGACGAGUGGCGAACGGGUGAGUAAUACAUCGGAACGUGCCCAGUCGUGGGGGAUAACUACUSGAAAGAGUAGCUAAUACCGCAUACGAUCUGAGGAUGAAAGCGGGGGACCUUCGGGCCUCGCGCGAUUGGAGCGGCCGAUGGCAGAUUAGGUAGUUGGUGGGAUAAAAGCUUACCAASCCGACGAUCUGUAGCUGGUCUGAGAGGACGACCAGCCACACUGGGACUGAGACACGGCCCAGACUCCUACGGGAGGCAGCAGUGGGGAAUUUUGGACAAUGGGCGAAAGCCUGAUCCAGCAAUGCCGCGUGCAGGAUGAAGGCCUUCGGGUUGUAAACUGCUUUUGUACGGAACGAAAAAGCUCCUUCUAAUACAGGGGGCCCAUGACGGUACCGUAAGAAUAAGCA
rnacentral:rRNA from 1 species